rnacentral:lncRNA from 1 species
UUGACCCCGAUCCACAUCUGCCUGGGCUUCUAUGGCUGACCUGCCCAAUCGCCGAUGGAUUCCUUCUCCAAACAGUACAAUGGCCACUCCCGCUCUGCCUCAGACCUCCCUUCUCCCCCACACGGCGAAUGUCCUGCUCCCUACCACGCCCAUACCGUUCUUUCUCCCCUGGAUGCAUCUGGUCUCUCUUCAAUUACAGGUCAGCACCAGCGCUGCAAACAAAAAAAGGUCAGCAUCUGGUCCUCCAGAAGUUCAGUGUGUUGAUUUUUUGAAGAUCAUGAAGUGGACUAUAACUAUGUAUAUUUUGCAGGGCCUUGUGAUAGGGCAUCCAUCUUUUUUCAUCGAGGUCGACAUCGUCCAUCUGCGUCGAGGCCACCCUGCCAUUGUAAAAUUCUGCUCUCAAAGGUGUCUGUUAUUGUGUAGGUAAAAGAACCUAAAGUUUUUCUAUACCUCAACAACUUGAACUGGUUAUGUAUCACUGUAAGUGCAAUAUACUUCAGUCGAAUAUUUGAUUAUUCAGCGGGCCAAUGUGUUCAUUAACCAAUUUUGUGCACUAAAAAAUUAUAGAAGGUAGAAUGUUUGUGAAUCUGUAUAUUAAGAGUAGUUGGUCAGUAGGCUAGUGGCUGCACUGUCUCCGUGGAAUAGUUUUCUGUGUCAUUUCUACUAGUUUCCAUCCCCAGCCGCGACACCUUCUCUUCCUGUUAUCACCACAAAAAACAGAGCACACAAAAGACUCGGGUGCUAGUCACCGUCCACCUCCUCAGGCACCUCUCUGCUUCUUGAGAGUUAGCUGCGGCUUUCCAUGGCCAUAUACACGCAGUUUGUUGUUUUGCCCAACCACUUAUAUAUGUGUGCAUGUUUCCAUUUUUGCCAAAUUGUAUACCGAUCUUUUGUUUUGAAAAACAAAUGUGAAUGUGAACAUGAGAAAAAAGUCUAUAUAAAGAAGUUCAUGUAUUACUAACCCAGAAGGUUCGUGUAUUACUAAGUGUGUGCACAUAUAAUUUCUCCCUCCAUAUAUGUUUGUAUGUAUGUUUGUAUGUUCUGCCAAUUCCAUUUUAGCUUUGACCAUGGUUCACCAGCCAUGUAAACAAUAGUUCGGCGCAUACGUCCUUCAAAAAUAUUAUCUAUCCUCAUUAUUUAGUUUAAAAUUGUGUUGUCUAGUUCUAGUUCUAUUCUAUUUUUCUGAAGUUCAAUAGUGUCAGUGCAAGCAAAAAAUUGGGGUUUUGAUAUGUUGGUUUCAGUUUCAGAAAUCCUUCAGGAAAAAAUGCAAAAGAAAAA